GAUGAAGAACGUAGUGAAAUGCGAUAAGUAGUGUGAAUUGCAGAAUUCAGUGAAUCAUCGAAUCUUUGAACGCACAUUGCGCCCCUUGGUAUCCCGAGGGGCAUGCCUGUUCGAGCGUCAUUUCACCACUCAAGCCUGGCUUGGUGUUGGGCGACGUCCCCUUUGGGGACGCGCCUUGAAACGCUCGGCGGCGUGGCACCGGCUUUAAGCGUAGCAGAAUCUUUCGCUUUGGAAGUCGGGGCCCCGUCUGCCGGAAGACCUACUCGCAAGGUUGACCUCGGAUCAGGCAGGGAUACCCGCUGAACUUAAGCAUAUCAAUAAGCGGAGGA
rnacentral:misc_RNA from 1 species